rnacentral:lncRNA from 1 species
AGGGAUCCAGAAACUCUAAGUCUGCAAAAUAGUUUUAUACUUGUGAUCUUAAUUACAAUUAACAGAAACAGAUGGUGUACUAAACCAUUGGGCAUCCACCUGAAGCAAAUAUCAGGAAAAUGGAAUCUGAAAAUAGUAAUAUUUUAUUAAAUGGGGUUAGGUGUGUGAAAGGGAAAGGCACUAGUAUGUGAAUCUUAUAAAUGGUUGAGGAGGAGUUGGAAUCCACUCAUAGUGCUUGAUUUGCAGAAGACAUUGGGAUGCUUCCAUGCCUUCAUUUUCAUACGUGUAAAGAUAGGUUGCCACUAGAUUUAGCUUCAUCAUUGCUGUCUUAAACUCCAAUAAACUCAGCCUUAAAAGUUCCAAUUAUUGCUAUAAAACGGCCACUCCUCAUCACACUUUCAUUACGUUCUAUUCCAACACCUUUCAUUCAUGUUAUGUGUUUUACAUUAGUUGAGAGU